ensembl:lncRNA
UAAUAGGGUGAUAUGGUACUACAAGGUCAUUAAGAUAAGAUGGGGCCUGAUUAUUUAAGACCUUGUAUGUAUAUGGGGGUGGGAAUGCACGUUUGUGUCCGCGUGCGCCUGUUCGUCUGUGUCUAUAUGUCAGGUCAGGUCUUAGACUUGACCUCUCUGGGUACAUCUCAGGCCCUCCAAAGUACGGAGGCCCAUCUCCCCUCACCACACUCCCUGCCAGUGGCUGAUGCCCUCAGACGUUGGUGUGUUGGUGGUUCUUGUCGACUGGGGCUGGGCGAUCAUGUAUGUACCGGCUCACUCCUGGUGGCCGAUUGGCGGGGCCUGCUGCCUGUGGCCCGGCUGGGCCCCCUCCCGGGGGGUGGGGUGCCCUCAGGCCUCUGGCCUCUGGAUCUGCUGGGUGACCUCUCGUUUGGGGCUCUACUCAGCUCUUCCCAGGAGGGUGGCACGGUUCCCCCCUUUUGGUGGUCCUCCUCGGGUCCUCGUACUCUGGGGCCUCUGGAUGUCUGGGACCUGGAUCUCCUCCAUACCUGCUUCAUGCCCUGGUGGACGGGGCUAUGGCUCCCCACACUCCCUAGCAGAUCGUUACAUGGAGAAACCUUUUGAAUACAAGCAUGCUGAUCCACACAGGUGUACACACGGAUAUUCACAGACGCGGACUACACCUUUCUUGGCUGCUGCCUCAAAGCACAUUGUGCGCUGUCUAUCUUGCGUGCUGCACAAUAGCGUUUAAUAUUUAGUAUCUACUGUUAUCUACUGCUAGCUAGUUUAUUGUGAUGGUGCUGGGGUUUUUUUUAAUUAUGUUGCUCUUUUUUGUUUGUUUUCUCUUCUGUUUUUUUUUCUCCAUACAGGUGAUCCAGGUGUUUGUUUGUUUUUCUUUCUUUCUUCCAGCGUUCAUUUGCAAUGGUUUGUAUUACACCAGUUUAUCUGAUCCACAAUAUGGGCCUGUACAUUUUUUAUAUUGUUUUCAGUACAAUGCAUUAUAUUAUCUUUGUCAGUGAGAGAUAAAUCUGCUGUGCCACAGUGUGCCCACAUCCAGCCUUUUUGCAUGGAGACACACUCAUGAAUGAAGCUGAAGUCAUGGUGACAAGUAUGUUCAAAAGUUAUGUGAUUGCCGACUCACUGAUCCUGAGGGAUGACUUACAAUGUUAGAGCUAUUUUGUACAUAUGUUGCUACAGAGAGGUGACAAAUGAAAGAAAAAUAGGAUUAAAUAUGUUCUAUGUGCUGCUAGAACAGUGAGAGUAAAACGUGAUUUUUCCUCAGUUAAUGUUUUGAUGAAGUUGCUUUUUGCUGACUUGAAAUCUUUGCUCUGAGAACAGAAAUGUUUGAUGAUAAAGAGCAUUUUUGUGCUUUUGUACAGCAGACCCAAACCGUGUCAGCACAAGAGGCCCACUAGGUUGUCACCUCAUUUUCUUAACUUUGUGUACUUCUGUGAAUUUAUCAGUAAUAUCUGGUCUCAGAAUGUUGGUUUUUUUUGCCAAAAUGUGUCAGAGAAAAACAACCCCAAAACGCUGAGUAUAAUCAUUUGAAAAAGGCUUCUCUUGGUGCUUUGCGACAUAC